rnacentral:rRNA from 1 species
GACAGAGGGUGCAAACGUUGUUCGGAAUUACUGGGCGUAAAGCGUGUGUAGGCUGUGCGACACGUCGGAUGUGAAAGCCCCGGGCUCAACCCGGGAAGUGCACUCGAUACGGUCGGACUGGAGUCUCGGAGAGGUGGGUAGAAUUCCUGGUGUAGAGGUGAAAUUCGUAGAUAUCAGGAGGAAUACCGGCGGCGAAGGCGGCCCACUGGACGAAGACUGACGCUGAGACACGAAAGCGUGGGGAGCAAACAGG